GACGAACCGUGCGAACGUUGUUCGGAUUCACUGGGCUUAAAGGGCGCGUAGGCGGUCGCCAUAGUCGGGGUGAAAUCUUUCAGCUUAACUGGAAAUGGCCUCCGAUACUGGGCGGCUGGAGGAGGGUAGGGCGCGCGGAACUUCCGGUGGAGCGGUGAAAUGCGUAGAUAUCGGAAGGAACGCCGGUGGCGAAAGCGGCGCGCUGGACCCUUUCUGACGCUGAUGCGCGAAAGCCAGGGGAGCAA
rnacentral:rRNA from 1 species